rnacentral:ncRNA from 1 species
AAAAGACUUAGUCCUAACCUUACUGUUGGUUUUUGCUAGAUACACACAUGCAAGUUUCCGCGCUCCAGUGCAAAUGCCCUAAACCAUCUCAACCCCAGAACUUUAGGAGCUGGCAUCAGGCACAUCAUUCAACCAUAGCCCAAGACGCCUAGCACUUGCCACACCCCCACGGGUACUCAGCAGUGGUUAACAUUAAGCAAUGAGUGAAAACUUGACUUAGUCAAAGCAAUACAGGGCUGGUAAAUCUUGUGCCAGCCACCGCGGUCAUACAAGAAGCCCAAAUCAACCUUAUUAACGGCGUAAAGAGUGAUCACAUGCUAUCACAACAAUUAAGACUAAAAAACGCCUAAGCUGUCAUAAGCCCAAGACGUCCAUAAGAACACAUAAACAAAAAAGUCUUAAUAUAACGAUUAAUUGAAAUUCACGAAAGCCAGGGCCCAAACUGGGAUUAGAUACCCCACUAUGCCUGGCCCUAAAUAUUGACACUUUAUCUUACCUGAGUGUCCGCCCGAGAACUACGAGCACAAACGCUUAAAACUCUAAGGACUUGGCGGUGUCCUAAACCCACCUAGAGGAGCCUGUUCUAUAACCGAUAAUCCACGAUAUACCCCACCAUUUCUUGCCAAAACAGCCUAUAUACCGCCGUCGCCAGUUCACCUCCCCUGAAAGAACAACAGUGAACGCAAUAGUCCCACCCCACUAGAAAGACAGGUCAAGGUAUAGCCUAUGGAAUGGAAGCAAUGGGCUACAUUUUCUAAUAUAGAACAUUACGAAAGGGGGCAUGAAACUGCCCCCGGAAGGAGGAUUUAGCAGUAAAGUUGGAUAACAAAGCCAUCUUAAACCCGGCCCUGGGACACGUACAUACCGCCCGUCACCCUCCUCACAAGCGACCAAACCACCAAUAACUAAUAAGCCAUAUAGCUAAAGAUGAGGUAAGUCGUAACAAGGUAAGUGUACCGGAAGGUGUACUUAGACCAUC